CUAACUACGUGCCAGCAGCCGCGGUAAUACGUAGGGGGCAAGCGUUGUCCGGAAUUAUUGGGCGUAAAGCGCGCGCAGGCGGUUCCUUAAGUCUGAUGUGAAAGGCCACAGCUCAACUGUGGAGGGCCAUUGGAAACUGGGGAACUUGAGGACAGAAGAGGAGAGCGGAAUUCCACGUGUAGCGGUGAAAUGCGUAGAUAUGUGGAGGAACACCAGUGGCGAAGGCGGCUCUCUGGUCUGUAACUGACGCUGAGGCGCGAAAGCAUGGGUAGCGAACAGGAUUAGAUACCCUGGUAGUCCAUGCCGUAAACGUUGAGUGCUAGGUGUUAGGGGGUCCAACCCUUAGUGCUGCAGUUAACGCAAUAAGCACUCCGCCUGGGGAGUACGGCCGCAAGGCUGAAACUCAAAGGAAUUGACGGGGGCCUGCACAAGCGGUGGAGCAUGUGGUUUAAUUCGACGCAACGCGAAGAACCUUACCAGGUCUUGACAUCUUCGGACAGCCCAAGAGAUUGGGUCUUCCCUUCGGGGACCGAAUGACAGGUGGUGCAUGGUUGUCGUCAGCUCGUGUCGUGAGAUGUUGGGUUAAGUCCCGUAACGAGCGCAACCCCUGAUCUUAGUUGCCAGCAUUCAGUUGGGCACUCUAGGAUGACUGCCGGUGACAAACCGGAGGAAGGCGGGGAUGACGUCAAAUCAUCAUGCCCCUUAUGACCUGGGCUACACACGUGCUACAAUGGAUGGUACAAAGGGAAGCCAAACCGCGAGGUCGAGCUAAUCCCAUAAAGCCAUUCUCAGUUCGGAUUGUAGGCUGCAACUCGCCUGCAUGAAGCCGGAAUCGCUAGUAAUCGCGGAUCAGAAUGCCGCGGUGAAUACGUUCCCAGGCCUUGUACACACCGCCCGUCACACCACGAGAGUUGGCAACACCCGAAGUCGGUGGGGUAACCUUCACGGAGCCAGCCGCCGAA
rnacentral:rRNA from 1 species